ensembl:snoRNA small nucleolar RNA, C/D box 112
UGGACGGAUGAUGACGAUGUGAUUAUGAACAAAGGCUCAUGAUUAAUCCAGUUCUGUGCGAAAUACUGAGGUCCAUU